AAUCAUUUGCCUUUUAAUGGAGGCUGGUAUGAAUGGCAGACGGGGGUUUGGCUGUCUCUCCUUUAGUGUCUUGAAUUUAUCAUCUUCGUGAAGAGGCGGAGAUAGUGUCGUAGGACGAGAAGACCCUAUCGAGCUUUAGCUGUUGGUUAGAGUUAUAGAAUUUUUGUUUUUAGAGCUAAUUAUAUAAUUAAACUGGUUUUACUCAAAGGUGAAGGUUAACUGUUACAAAUCGUUUUGGUUGGGGCAACCGCGGAGAAAACCUAUCCUCCGCUUCAUAAAUUAAAGAAAAAUGUACUGUUUUAGAAGAUUUUUAAAUUAGGAAAUGAUCCACUAGAAAGUGAUCAAAGGAACAAGUUACCGUAGGGAUAACAGCGUAAUUUUUUUGGAGAGUUCAUAUUGAUAAAAAAGUUUGCGACCUCGAUGUUGGAUCGGGACUUCCUGGAGAUGCAGCAGUUUCCAAGGGUUGGUCUGUUCGACCAUUAAAGUCCUACGUGAUCUGAGUUCAGACCGGGA
rnacentral:rRNA from 1 species